rnacentral:rRNA from 1 species
AUUGAACGCUGGCGGCAUGCCUUACACAUGCAAGUCGAACGGUAGAGUAGCAAUACUCGAGAGUGGCGAACGGGUGAGUAACAUAUCGGAACGUGCCCAAUCGUGGGGGCUAACGUAGCGAAAGUUACGCUAAUACCGCAUACGAUCUAAGGAUGAAAGCGGGGGAUCGCAAGACCUCGCGCGAUUGGAGCGGCCGAUAUCAGAUUAGGUAGUUGGUGAGGUAAAGGCUCACCAAGCCGACGAUCUGUAGCUGGUCUGAGAGGACGACCAGCCACACUGGGACUGAGACACGGCCCAGACUCCUACGGGAGGCAGCAGUGGGGGAAUUUUGGACAAUGGACGCAAGUCUGAUCCAGCAAUGCCGCGUGCAGGAUGAAGGCCUGG